rnacentral:rRNA from 1 species
GGGUGAUCGGCCACACUGGGACUGCUUGACGGUACCUGACCAGAAAGCCACGGCUAACUACGUGCCAGCAGCCGCGGUAAUACGUAGGUGGCAAGCGUUGUCCGGAAUUAUUGGGCGUAAAGCGCGCGCAGGCGGUCCUUUAAGUCUGAUGUGAAAGCCCACGGCUCAACCGUGGAGGGUCAUUGGAAACUGGGGGACUUGAGUGCAGAAGAGGAGAGUGGAAUUCCACGUGUAGCGGUGAAAUGCGUAGAGAUGUGGAGGAACACCAGUGGCGAAGGCGACUCUCUGGUCUGUAACUGACGCUGAGGCGCGAAAGCGUGGGGAGCGAACAGGAUUAGAUACCCUGGUAGUCCACGCCGUAAACGAUGAGUGCUAAGUGUUAGAGGGUUUCCGCCCUUUAGUGCUGCAGCAAACGCAUUAAGCACUCCGCCUGGGGAGUACGGCCGCAAGGCUGAAACUCAAAGGAAUUGACGGGGGCCCGCACAAGCGGUGGAGCAUGUGGUUUAAUUCGAAGCAACGCGAAGAACCUUACCAGGUCUUGACAUCCUCUGACAACCCUAGAGAUAGGGCGUUCCCCUUCGGGGGACAGAGUGACAGGUGGUGCAUGGUUGUCGUCAGCUCGUGUCGUGAGAUGUUGGGUUAAGUCCCGCAACGAGCGCAACCCUUGAUCUUAGUUGCCAGCAUUCAGUUGGGCACUCUAAGGUGACUGCCGGUGACAAACCGGAGGAAGGUGGGGAUGACGUCAAAUCAUCAUGCCCCUUAUGACCUGGGCUACACACGUGCUACAAUGGAUAGAAGAGUUUGAACCGAAGUCAGCAGGUGAAACCGGCAAUAUUAAGGAAAUGCCCAAUA